rnacentral:rRNA from 1 species
CGGCCUAUCAGGUAGUAGGUGGGGUAACGGCCCACCUAGCCUACGACGGGUACGGGCCCUGAGAGGGGGAGCCCGGAGAUGGGCACUGAGACAAGGGUCUAGGCCCUAAGGGGCGCAGCAGGCGCGAAGAUUCCGCAAUGCCCGAAAGGGCGACGGAGUGAACCCGAGUGCCACCCGCUGAGGGUGGCUGUUCCCCUGUGUAAAAAGCAGGGGGUAGGAAGGGGAGGGCAAGGCUGGUGGCAGCCGCCGCGGUAAAACCAGCUCCCCGAGGGGUUCCCACGCAUACUGGGCCUAAAGCGUCCGUAGCCGGCCCUGUAAGUCCGCAGUUAAAUCCGCCUGUAGACAGGCGGGCUGCUGCGGAUACUGCAGGGCUAGGGAGCGGGAGGAGCCGGGGGUAUUCCCGGGGGAGCGGUAAAAUGCGUAGAUCCCGGGAGGACCACCAGUGGCGAAGGCGCCCGGCUUGAACGCGUCCGACGGUGAGGGACGAAAGCUGGGGGAGCAAACCGGAUUAGAUACCCGGGUAGUCCCAGCCGUAAACGAUGCCGGCUAGGUGCUGGCCAAGGUUUCGACCUUGGCCAGUGUCGAAGCGAAGGCAUUAAGCCGGCCGCCUGAGGAGUACGGCCGCAAGGCUGAAACUUGAAGGAAUUGACGGGGGGGCACCACAAGGGGUGAAUGCCUGCGGCUUAAUUGGACUCAACGCCGGGAAUCUUACCGGGGGCGACAGCAGGAUGAAGGUCAGGCUGAAGACCUUACCAGACGCGCUGAGGGGUGGUGCAUGGCCGUCGCCAGCUCGUGCCGUGAGGUGUCCUGUUAAGUCAGGCAACGAGCGGGACCCCCGCCCCUAGUUGCCAGCGGCCUCCUUCGGGAGGGACCGGGCAAACUAGGGGGACCGCCUCCGAAGAGGAGGAGGAAGGUGGGGGCUACGGCAGGUCAGUAUGCCCCUAAUCCCCCGGGCCGCACGCGGGCU